rnacentral:rRNA from 1 species
UACGGAGGGAGCGAGCGUUGUCCGGAAUUAUUGGGCGUAAAGAGCUCGUAGGCGGCCUGUCGCGUCGGAUGUGAAAGCCCGGGGCUUAACCCCGGGUCUGCAUUCGAUACGGGCAGGCUGGAGUGUGGUAGGGGAGAUCGGAAUUCCUGGUGUAGCGGUGAAAUGCGCAGAUAUCAGGAGGAACACCGGUGGCGAAGGCGGAUCUCUGGGCCAUUACUGACGCUGAGGAGCGAAAGCGUGGGGAGCGAACAGG